GCAAGCAGCCAUAUCACCCUGCAACUCACAACUUGUAACCCACUGAAGCUAAGCAGGUGUGAGCCUGGUCAGUACCUGGAUGGGAGACCUCCUGGGAAAUACUAAGGUUGCUGCUGGAA
rnacentral:rRNA from 2 species